rnacentral:lncRNA from 1 species
UAUUGUGGUCACAUGUUCCAGGACAAGAAUCUGGUCGGGAGUAGAUUAAAACCUACCAGUUCUCAGAUAUGAAAAUUACUUGGAUUUGUCAACCUGCAAGUUUUCUGUCUGGUGGCAUGGUCCUCUGCACCACAGUCCUCUGGCUUCCACAUACACAUGUUUACACAUGUACUCACACCUUUACACAUCCAUGCACCUACACCUUCACACAGAGAUGUACCUACACCUUUAUACACAUACAUGCAUCUACACACACACACGCACACACACACAAUGGGAGCCAGAAAGCUUGGAGUUCCAUGGUCCCUUCCUAAGGCACAUUCACAAUUAUCCCAAUGACCAUCAAGUAAGGCACUUAUUUUUUUUUCUUUCUUAAAGCAGGGACUCACUGGGUAUCCUUGGCUAGAUUGACACUCACUGUCUAGACUAGGCUGGACUUGUCUACAUGUCUGCCUGGAUCUUCCUCCCUAGUGCUUGGCACAGGCCUUAUAUAUUAAAGGCUCAACCCCCACCCAGAGGUGCCACCCUGGGAACCAAGUUUCUAAUAGAUAAUCCCUAUGGAGAUUAACCAAAUCCAAGCCACAGUGGCUCUAAAGCUGUUUGUCACUACCUCAGCUGCCAAUAUAUGUGGGUUUUUUUCUAGAAGGAUACAACUCAGCCAUAGGACCAACAGCUGGUGUACUUCUUCCCCCAGUACCGGGCACUGGGUGUUCAUCUUAGUUUCAUUUCCUCUUGCUGUGAUGAAAUAGUUUAAUGAAAACAACUUAAGGAGGAGAAGGUUUACUAUGGCUCACAGUUCAGGAGCACAUUCCAUAAUGGCAGAGCAGUCAGGACAGCAGAAGCUUGAAGCAGCUGCACUCAGAACUAGGGAGAAACAAGGGCUAGUGUUUAACCCUUCUCCAGCUAUACAGUCUGGAAUCUGGGAACAGUCCCAACCACAAUUAAGAUGGGUUUCUCCCCAUCUCAAGUAACCCAACUACAAUAAUCCAUUCACAUCACACGCACCCUUUCUGAGCCUCAAGGACAGCCUGAAAGAUUGUAAGAAUCAGAAAUAAUGAAUGCCUACAACAAAACAGUAUCUGCCUAACAUGUCAGGGCUGUUGCACACAUGAACUCACAGUAGCACAAGACCCACACAAGAUGAAGCCAGGCAAAAUCCCAGCAUGAAUUGUGGAGGGCUCACAAAGUCCCACACCUAGCUGAUGAUGGCUCCAGGGGAAAGGAGAGUCAGCUCAUUUUUUCAGUGAUGCAUAGUUCAGUCAAUGGUCCCACACCCCUAAACAUACAACAUGGUAAGAGGACUCAGUCUGGGGAGAGUGGGGGACACAUUCAGUUGGAAGAGAAAAAUAGUGGUGGAGAUAGGGGAAGAACUGGAGGGAACGGAAUGCAGAGCAGACUUGAUCAAAACACGUCAUCUACAGGUAUGAAAUCCUCCAACAAUAAAAAUCAAUUCUUAAAAAAGAAAAACAAACAAUGAUAAUUCCUCACAGGCAUUUUCAGAGCCCCACCUCUCAGAUGAUUCUGAACCAUCAAGUUGAUAGUUAAUACUACCUAGCACAAUUGGCAUUUGGCAAUCUCUUCUAAACUAAGAAGAUCUGUGUGAAGGCUAGCUGUAAUGGUCAACUUGGCCCAACCUAGAAUCUCCUGGGAAGAAUCUCAGUACAAGUGCCUGUAUCUGGUUGACCCAUGGGCAUGUCUAUGGAGGAACUGUCUCAAUUUUAUUAACCUAUGGGACUGCAGAGAUGGCUUAAUGGUUAAGAGAUCUUCCUGCUUCUGCAUAGAACUUGAAUUCAGUUCUAGUGCUCACAUUCUGCAGCUCCCAAUGGCCUGUAACUACAGCCCCAGAGAACCUAAUGCCUUCUUCUGUCUUCCAUGGUACACUCACCCACCCACAGCAUGCACACACACAUGCAUACACAGGCACACACCCACAUGCACACACACACACCUUAUUCUCCCAGUCCUCAGGAGGCAGAGACAGGCAAAUCUCUGAGUUCCCAGCCAGCCUGGAAUUAACUACAGAGUGAGUUCCGGGAUACUCAGGGCUACACAUGAAAACCCUGUGUGGGAAGUAAGUAAAUUACAUUAAUUGGUGUGAGAAGACCCAGUCCACUACUGGUGGCACUGUUCCCUUGGGUUUUGGUCUGUAUACAAGUGAAGAAAUCGUGCUAGCAGCAAGUAAGCAAGCAAGCAUUCCCCUCUGCUCCCACAACUGUGGGGCCAUGCCACUGUGGCUGGGCUGUGAUGGACUCUAACCUGGAGAUGUGAGCUAAAACAAACUCUUUCUCCCCUAAGUUGCUUUUGGUUGAGAUGUUUUAUCCCAGCAACAGAAAUGAAGCUAGGACAGUGUUAUGACCAAGCAAUACAGUCAUGUGUUACUCCCUCCCUUCAUUUAUAUAAAGGGGACAAAGAGACCCAAGAAUUAGCCCAUGUGCCACAGAGACUGGAAGGAAUUCGGAUGGUACCAAGACUGGAAUAUAGUUCUGGACCCUGCAGGAGCUAGGACUCUCAAUGUAAGAACUCUGGGACAUGAACAUUGGGAUAGAUGGCAUGGUAGUAGAGAAAAUAUAGGGCACAGAUAAGCACUCAGCUUUGGGAGGCUAGGAUGAGGCUCUGACUACCCCCAAAGAAUUUUUCUUUCUUCCUGCCUGCAUCCACCCUUAUCUGGUGUGUGUGUGUGUGUGUGUGUGUGUGUGUGUGUGUGUGUGUGUGUGUGUACCUGCAUGUGGAGACCAGAAGACAACCUUAGCUGUUGAGCUAGGGUCUCUCUCUGACAGAUAAACAAGGGUUUUAACGCCUGAAGUAGGACUGAGUGUGGUGGCGCAUACCUCUCAAUCCCAACACUUGGGAAGCUGAAGUAAGAGGAUAAAGAGUUUGAGGCCACACUGGGCUACUUAGUGAGCUCUUGUC